CGUACAUCCUGCGGGAGGCAGCAGUGGGGAAUAUUGGACAAUGGGCGCAAGCCUGAUCCAGCCAUGCCGCGUGAGUGAUGAAGGCCCUAGGGUUGUAAAGCUCUUUCACCGGUGAAGAUAAUGACGGUAACCGGAGAAGAAGCCCCGGCUAACUUCGUGCCAGCAGCCGCGGUAAUACGAAGGGGGCUCGCGUUGUUCGGAUUUACUGGGCGUAAAGCGCACGUAGGCGGACUAUUAAGUCAGGGGUGAAAUCCCGGGGCUCAACCCCGGAACUGCCUUUGAUACUGGUAGUCUUGAGUUCGAGAGAGGUGAGUGGAAUUCCGAGUGUAGAGGUGAAAUUCGUAGAUAUUCGGAGGAACACCAGUGGCGAAGGCGGCUCACUGGCUCGAUACUGACGCUGAGGUGCGAAAGCGUGGGGAGCAAACAGGAUGAGAAACCCCGGUAGUCCCAUGAU
rnacentral:rRNA from 1 species